rnacentral:rRNA from 1 species
GACGUCAAAUCAUCAUGCCCCUUAUGACCUGGGCUACACACGUGCUACAAUGGGAAGUACAACGAGUUGCGAAGUCGCGAGGCUAAGCUAAUCUCUUAAAGCUUCUCUCAGUUCGGAUUGCAGGCUGCAACUCGCCUGCAUGAAGCCGGAAUCGCUAGUAAUCGCGGAUCAGCACGCCGCGGUGAAUACGUUCCCGGGCCUUGUACACACCGCCCGUCACACCACGAGAGUUUGUAACACCCGAAGUCGGUGAGGUAACCUUUUGGAGCCAGCCGCCUAAAGGUGGGAUAGAUGAUGGGGUAAAGUCGUUACCAUGGUGC